AUAAUUGUGAGGUAUCCAGUAGAAAUGUUAGAGAAAAGUCAUUAACACCGCAGUAUACAUUUUAAAAAAUCCAAACUGCAACAUUAAAUUGCCAAAGUAUUGAGGGACGGUUUCCACUUAAUGGAAGCACUGGGUUUUUUUGUUUGUUUUUCUUUUUCCUUUUAGAAGAAUGCGAGUUCCUCGCUUGAGUUGUUUGAAUGGCAGAAAACCACCAGCAGAAGCCUCGGUGUGGGGAAACGGCAGCGUGGAAAUAAAGAGAGCCUGAAAAAGUUUCAAGGCGCAGCCCACUUUCCAGCAAAACGGUAAAGAUGUCCUAAUGCCAACAGUCAAGUAAGAAACAAAAGGUCAUCUUCUAUGUGUUCCUCACGCAGCGAAUGGCACACAGUUAAAGGAAACAGCCUUCGCACCCUCUGCUAACGUCUCCGCAUAAAAUACCAAGAAACUUGGUUUGACCGCAAAAAAGGAAGUAGUUCGAUACAAAUUACAUUCACCGGUUCCUGAAAUGGUUUCUGCUGUCAAGCAUUGAAGGUCCUCAGAAGGAAAGACGAGGAGACCAAAGCUGAAGAUCAAGUCAGUAAAUAAACUUUCGUGUUCCAGUUACUGCGUUGGAGCAUGCAGAGCGCACCAACCCUAGCAGGACUACAGUAUGGUAAUCCCAGAGGAUUCCAUAUCCCCUCCCUAAAAUGUCUAGACUCAAAGAGAAAUGAAUGUGAUGCAACUCCCGGGAGCCAGACAGGUGUUCGUGGAAGCCAGAAGAGGAGGCAAGGUUGCAGGGGAUGGAAUUACAUACCAUCAAAAGAUGCCCAACACGAGUACUAGAAACUGAAAUUGAAUCCUCUAGAAAAGCAACGAGUACCCUUCACCACUGAGCAGUUUCUCCAUCUCUACAUGGGCAUUUUUAAGUAGAUUCAGGUAUAUAAGAAAAACUACUAGACAGAGUGAAAUAAACCCCUUUGCCACAAUGCAGGCUAUACUGUUCUUAGACCUAAGAAGAAGAACCCCAACACGAAAAUGAAAGCACCAAAUGAAGAGGAAAUUAUUUGCUAGACUUUUUUGACUGAUUUACUUUGAUCAAACUGUGAAAUGGAUUGAUAACCUAAAUGCCCCUGAGCUACACCGCUGGCAGCCAUGGUUACAUUUCAAAGCGGGGGCAAAGAAAAAUGAAGGCAACUGAGAAAAUGACCUUUCUGAUUUUAUUCUUAAAAUAAAGAUUGACUCUCACUGUUCAGAGAAUUUGGCAACAGAAGUAGCAGAUGUGUCUGGUGUGUUCAGCAAACAGGGCACUUACCAUGAGUGGAUUUUCACAGCAGAAGCUCCUCCAUUACUGAUACAUGAAUGAUGGCUUACUGCAGCUUCUCUCUCCAUAACGUUAACAUUUCCAACUUUUGGGAUCUUCUAUAACAGCUUGAAAUGCAGGUGCUUUGCGGAGCCUGUCUCGCUGGAAGUUCUUCAGGAACAGAGACACAUGGAGCUCUCACCUGCCUUGGCAUCCACACCUGGAAUCCCUCUGCAGGACCCGCCCGGGGCCCUCCUUGAAGAAGCAUCACUGUUUGCAGAAACGGGUCCACGGUGGUGUGUUUGCAUUUCUCUGUUUCACAUUGCCUUGUGAGCAGGUAUUUCCCCUUCAUUAAUAAAGCU